GUCUCCGUGGCGCAAUUGGUUAGCGCGUUCGACUGUUACCGUCCGGUGCGAUAGAGAGGUUGACAGUUCAAUCCUGUCCGGGGACG
rnacentral:tRNA from 1 species